AGUGAACGCUGGCGGUAGGCCUAGCACAUGCAAGUCGAACGGCAGCACAGUAAGAGCUUGCUCUUACGGGUGGCGAGUGGCGGACGGGUGAGGAAUACAUCGGAAUCUACUUUUUCGUGGGGGAUAACGUAGGGAAACUUACGCUAAUACCGCAUACGACCUACGGGUGAAAGCAGGGGAUCUUCGGACCUUGCGCGAUUGAAUGAGCCGAUGUCGGAUUAGCUAGUUGGCGGGGUAAAGGCCCACCAAGGCGACGAUCCGUAGCUGGUCUGAGAGGAUGAUCAGCCACACUGGAACUGAGACACGGUCCAGACUCCUACGGGAGGCAGCAGUGGGGAAUAUUGGACAAUGGGCGAAAGCCUGAUCCAGCCAUACCGCGUGGGUGAAGAAGGCCUUCGGGUUGUAAAGCCCUUUUGUUGGGAAAGAAAAGCAGCAGGUUAAUACCCCGCUGUUCUGACGGUACCCAAAGAAUAAGCACCGGCUAACUUCGUG
rnacentral:rRNA from 1 species